UAUAGUCAAUGAUUUUAUAUUCUAACUGUAAUUCAAUUGAAUCUGAUAUUCAUUGAAUUGAAGCGAAAAUUUGAUUAUGUUUUAUUGGGUAGGAAAUAGGAUUCUAUAUAAUAAAAAAUGCAGAGAGAAAUCUCCAGCGACUAUAAUUUUGUCGGGUCACUCUAUUCCUCAAAUUUCCUGUCAAGUGGUUCACCUUUUCUCAAUUAUGUAACUGUCGAUUCCAAUUCCCCUUCAAACAUUAUCAAUUCUUAGCCGAAUGAUGAUGACAUGUUACUGAGUUCACUUUACGAAAAGGAGUUGUUAAGUCCUUUUAGUAGUUUAAAUUUCGCCAUAGUGAAGAAAGAAUACUUCCAUGAAAGAAGUUAUCAGAAAGAUCAAGAGUCUGGAGCUUUGAGAGUUUUCCAAGUUUUGCUGGGAUUGGUCCUGUUAUGUUGGUGAGAAAUAGUUGUUUGUCCAUUUUUGCAGCUGCCUUGCGUCGAGAAUCAUGGGGUUUGUUCCGAAGCUAGAUUUGGGAGAUACUCUAUUAUUUGUUCAUUCCCCUCCCAACAAAUAACAAUAUUAAUUUUUUUGAAGGGUUUUGUUUCAUUUUAUUUGGAUAAUAACAAACAUAGUACUCUGUAUUUUUUUUUUUAAGGGUUUUGUGAAGAUCAAUGCAUGUUUUUCCAAUGGUUUGCCUUUAUUUGCGUCAUUGUGUUUUUCUUGAUUUUGCUGAAUGGUUUAGAAUCAAUUUGCUUGAGCCAUAUAUUAAGUAAAGAAAUUGUAGACGACAGAUAGAGAGCCGAAUUGGGAUUUGUCCUUCAAAUUUUUAUGGUUCAUGUCAAAGACUGCUAUAAUGAUCCUUUUUAUUUUUGCGGCAAAAUAAAGUAUGGAAGACGUAGAAGAUGAGCCUGUUGAUGUUUUGAUGGAAUCCGAUACUGAGAAUAUUCGAAGUUUGUGAAUGUAGUCAAAGACGAAACAUCGGGAGGGAUGGGUUACAAGUGCCUGAGGUGGGUAUGCUAUUUAAGCAUGAAGAAGAUAUGUAUAACUUCUACAAAAAAUAUGCUUAUGCCGUUGGUUUUCCCGUUAAAAAAAGGAAUUCGAAAAAGGGGGAGGAUGGAGCAUUGAGAUACCUAACGUUAACAUGUAGUCGUGAAGGACGAUUAAAUGGUAAUACUAGCAGUUCACUGAAGCCGCAACCAACAGUUAAGAUGGGUUGUAAAACAAGGAUAUCCGCAUCUUAAGAUAUCCUGGGAAAUUGGAGAAUUAAUGCGGUCCCCUAGAGCACAAUCAUAAGACAAGUCCAUCUAAGUCCAGGUUAUAUCGAUGCAACCGAACUUUUACUGCACAUGUGAAAAGAAAGUUUGAAAUGAAUGAUUUAGCAGGGAUUCCAUUGCAUAAGAGUUACAAUUCCGCAGUUGUAGAAGCUGGUGGAUAUGAGAACAUGACUUGCAUUGAAAAAAAUUGUCGGAACUAUGUCGAACGAGUUAGGUGAUUACGACUUGGAGAGGACGAUGCUGCAGUAAUACAAUCAUACUUUUCAAGAAUGCAAGCUCAAUGUUCGAGAUUUUAUUUCAGUAUGGAUUUGGACGAUGAUUCGCGACUAAGAAAUGUAUUCUGGGCAAAUAAUCGGUGUAGGCCAGCGUACAAGGAGUUUUGUGAUGUGGUUACUUUUGAUACCACCUAUCUUACUAAUAAGUAUGACAUGCCAUUCGCCCCCUUUGUUGGCAUCAAUCAUCACGAAUAGUCAACAUUACUUGGUAGUGGGUUGUUGUCGAAUGAGGACACCGAGACUUUCGUAUGGUUGUUUAGAACAUGGCUUCAGUGUAUGUAUGGUGAAACUACGCAGGCCAUAAUUACCGAUUAGGAUAGAGCCAUGCAAAAUGCAAUUGAGAUUGUCUUCCCGAUGACGAAGCAUAGAUGGUGUUUGUAGCGUAUUUUGAAGAAGCCCCCGGAAAAGUUUGGAUACCAUGUGGAUAAGGGUUUGAUAUUUGGGGCUAUACAUAGAUUAGUGUAUGAUUCACAGUCGGAACAAGAAUUUGAUGAAGGUUGGAUGGCGAUGAUUGACACCUAUAGUUUGCAGCAAAAUAAUUGGUUGUCAGGAUUAUAUGAGAAUAGAGGGCGUUGGGUGCCUUGUUUUUUGAAAAUAACUUUUUAGGCAGGAAUGUUUACAACAUAGAGAAUCGAGAGUAUGAACGCGUUCUUCAGUGGAUAUGUGCAUUCGAAGACAUCGUUGAAGCAAUUCGUCGAACAGUACGAACGUGCUCUCAGGAAUAAGGUCGAGAAGGAAUUCCAAGCUGAUUUCAAGUCGUUCUCUCAAAUGAUACCGUGUGCAACACAGUUUGAAAUGGAAGAACAGUUUCGGUCAGUUUACACCAUAUCGAAAUGUCGGGAAGUUUAAAAAGAGUUCACAGGUAAGGUCUACUGUAAUGUCAUAUCUACGUCAGAAGGAUCUUCUGAGACGACGUAUAAUGUACGGGAGACUAUUAUGUAUGAUGGUCGUCGCAAGAGAAAAACUUGAGUCGUCUCAUUUGUGAGAAAUAAUUGCGAAGUUGUUUGUAGCUGCCACUUAUUUGAGUUUAGGGGAAUACUUUGUAAGCAUGCAAUAGCGGUUCAAGACUAGAACGAUGUCACGUGUAUUCCGGAUCAGUAUUUUUUGCGGAGAUGGAUGAGGGACGUUCGUAGAGCAUACACGAGAGUUCCAAUAAACUAUGCAGGGUUAGAGACUACUCCUGCACAAUUAAGAUACGAAGAGAUGUCUAAGGGAUUUGCACAGGUGGCAGACCUUGCUGCAGAUGAUGAAAUGCUGUCACGUGCUAUAAUGGAGUGGAUAAAAUUGCAACGUGAAGAUAUGAUGACCACAAGAUCUGGUGGUAGUAGUAAUCUCAUACCGUCGCGUACCACGCAGGUGUCCAAUGAUUGUACAGACGUGUCAAAGUUAGCGAGCGGAAGCAUAUGUGAUCCACAAGUAGCUCGACUAAAGGGUGCGCCAAGGAAGCUUAGAAAAAGAAGCCCAUUGGAGAUAACAUCAAAGAAAGCAAAGGUAUGCUCGAAAACUGAGAUUUAUAUUUGCAAUUGUUUAAAUUUAUAUCUUGUAAAUGCAAUCUAGCGGGACAUCAUCCACUACUAUGCCACCAAGAAGUAGCAAUACGAAUAUGGUAGAUGACGCAAUGAACUUUCAGUUGCCUCAACAAUAUUCCAUGCCAACCCCGACGUCGUACUUGCCCAGUGACACGUUGACACCAUUAUCUUUGUCACAACUGUCCAUGUCUACACCGUUCUCCCUUUCCCAAUGUGUACCCUUUGGAAAUUUGGUCUCUCCAUUCGCUGCUAGUAUCAUGCAAAAUUCACAAUGUAUAAACCAAUGUUGUAGACGGUUUUAAAAUUCAUUUUGUUGUGAACACAUGAUUAACUAUUUGUUAUGGUAUUCUAUUGUAGGUCAACCAUCGGCGAACUACUAUCAAAAUUUAUUGGAUCACAGUGGCAGCCUAUAGCAAGGGGGCUAUGUUUGCGCGAUUGGAAUUUUUUUGAAAUCGAGACUUCCAAUUCACAGUACUCGAAUGAAGAUGUAUUUUGGCAUUUCCUAGUAUUAAGGCAAUUACUACUUUGCCUAUUUUGGCAACUUCACAGGUUUUAAGUUGGCGGAAUUUUUUUGAAAUGUUGGGUAAUUACUACUCAUAGUGUAUUAG
rnacentral:lncRNA from 1 species